UACGUAGGUGGCAAGCGUUGUCCGGAUUUACUGGGCGUAAAGAGCGCGCAGGCGGUCGUUCAAGUCGCGUGUGAAAGCCCCCGGCUCAACUGGGGAGGGUCACGCGAUACUGAUCGACUCGAAGGCAGGAGAGGGUAGUGGAAUUCCCGGUGUAGUGGUGAAAUGCGUAGAUAUCGGGAGGAACACCAGUGGCGAAGGCGACUCUCUGGGACGGUACUGACGCUGAGACGCGAAAGCGUGGGGAGCGAACAGG
rnacentral:rRNA from 1 species